rnacentral:tRNA from 1 species
GCGGGUGUAGCUCAGUGGCAGAGCGUCGGCUUCCCAAGCCGAUCAUGUGGGUUCGAUUCCCAUCACCCGCUCCA